AGUGGGGAAUAUUGCGCAAUGGGCGAAAGCCUGACGCAGCCACGCCGCGUGAGCGAUGAAGGCCUUCGGGUCGUAAAGCUCUGUGGGGAGAGAAGAAGAAAGUCGGUGAAGAGCCGGCCUUGACGGUAUCUCCUUAGCAAGCACCGGCUAACUCCGUGCCAGCAGCCGCGGUAAUACGGAGGGUGCGAACGUUGCUCGGAAUCAUUGGGCGUAAAGCGCACGUAGGCUGCGAGGAAAGUUGGGUGUGAAAGCCCUGGGCUCAACCCAGGAAGUGCAUUCAAAACUACCUUGCUUGAAUCUCGGAGGGGGUCAGAGAAUUCCCGGUGUAGAGGUGAAAUUCGUAGAUAUCGGGAGGAAUACCAGUGGCGAAGGCGCUGACCUGGACGAAGAUUGACGCUGAGGUGCGAAAGCGUGGGGAGCAAA
rnacentral:rRNA from 1 species